rnacentral:tRNA from 1 species
GCUUAAAUAGUUUAUGUAAGAUAUCAAUUUGUGGGAUUGAUGAAGUAAUUAUUUUACUUUAGGCA